CGGCGGACGGGUGAGUAACACGUGGGUAGCCUACCUAUAAGACUGGGACAACUUCGGGAAACCGGAGCUAAUACCGGAUAAGAUAUCGAACCGCAUGGUUCGAUAGUGAAAGAUGGUUUUGCUAUCACUUAUAGAUGGACCCGCGCCGUAUUAGCUAGUUGGUGAGGUAACGGCUCACCAAGGCAACGAUACGUAGCCGACCUGAGAGGGUGAUCGGCCACACUGGAACUGAGACACGGUCCAGACUCCUACGGGAGGCAGCAGCU
rnacentral:rRNA from 1 species